AUAAUCUGGAAGUAGACGCCGACUGAGGUAUAUUCUGCGAGCUCAGCUUACCAGGUGUUCUUUGCUGGCUUCGAGAGGUUCCCAUGCGGUCGGGCCCUUUGGAAGACUUGGGCCCCGGCCAAGUGCAAGCUUCACUUCUGGCUAGCGAUGAGGCGUCGGAUUUGGACGGCAGACAGACGCCUUCGACACGGCCUCCAGUCCCACGUCAUGUGCCCAUUAUGCGAGCAGGAGGCUGAGACUGCAGACCACCUGGCACUGGGCUGUGUGUUUGCCAGGGAGGUGUGGCACUCUGCCCUCGCACGGUGCGGCCUUGGCCAGUUGGUGCCCAGCAUGGAUGCAACUCUCAUAGAGUGGUGGCCAGCCAGUCGUGCGAUGAUCCAGAAGGAGCGGAGGAAGGGGUUUGAUUCGCUUGCCCUCCUCAUCAUCUGGAUGCUAUGGAGGGACGUAAUAGUCGUGUCUUCGAGCGGUCAGCGGUCGUUGCUAGAGAGCUUUAUCGUCGCAUCAGUGAUGAGGUUGAGCUAUGGAAACUUUCUGGUGCGAGGGGGUUGUCGGACUUCUGGAGGUAGGACCUUCUAG
rnacentral:rRNA from 1 species